GCAAGUCGAGGGGUAACAUUGUGCUUGCACAGAUGACGACCGGCGCACGGGUGCGUAACGCGUAUGCAAUCUACCUUUUACAGGGGAAUAGCCCAGAGAAAUUUGGAUUAAUGCCUCAUAGUAUAUAGUUGUGGCAUCACAAUUAUAUUAAAGAUUUAUCGGUAAAAGAUGAGCAUGCGUUCUAUUAGUUAGUUGGUAAGGUAACGGCUUACCAAGACUACGAUAGAUAGGGGCCCUGAGAGGGGGAUCCCCCACACUGGUACUGAGACACGGACCAGACUCCUACGGGGGGCAGCAGUGAGGAAUAUUGGACAAUGGGCGAGAGCCUGAUCCAGCCAUGCCGCGUGCAGGAAGACUGCCCUAUGGGUUGUAAACUGCUUUUAUACAGGAAGAAACACUGCUACGUGUAGCAGCUUGACGGUACUGUAAGAAUAAGGAUCGGCUAACUCCGUGCCAGCAGCCGCGGUAAUACGGAGGAUCCAAGCGUUAUCCGGAAUCAUUGGGUUUAAAGGGUCCGUAGGUGGACAAUUAAGUCAGAGGUGAAAUCUUGCAGCUCAACUGUAAAAUUGCCUUUGAUACUGGUUGUCUUGAGUUAUUAUGAAGUAGUUAGAAUAUGUAGUGUAGCGGUGAAAUGCAUAGAUAUUACAUAGAAUACCAAUUGCGAAGGCAGAUUACUAAUAAUCAACUGACACUGAUGGACGAAAGCGUGGGUAGCGAACAGGAUUAGAUACCCUGGUAGUCCACGCCGUAAACGAUGGUUACUAGCUGUUCGGACUUCGGUCUGAGUGGCUAAGCGAAAGUGAUAAGUAACCCACCUGGGGAGUACGUUCGCAAGAAUGAAACUCAAAGGAAUUGACGGGGGCCCGCACAAGCGGUGGAGCAUGUGGUUUAAUUCGAUGAUACGCGAGGAACCUUACCAGGGCUUAAAUGUAGAUUGACAGGACUAGAGAUAGUUUUUUCUUCGGACAAUUUACAAGGUGCUGCAUGGUUGUCGUCAGCUCGUGCCGUGAGGUGUCAGGUUAAGUCCUAUAACGAGCGCAACCCCUGUUGUUAGUUGCCAGCGAGUCAAGUCGGGAACUCUAACAAGACUGCCAGUGCAAACUGUGAGGAAGGUGGGGAUGACGUCAAAUCAUCACGGCCCUUACGUCCUGGGCUACACACGUGCUACAAUGGUAGGGACAGAGAGCAGCCACUGGGUGACCAGGAGGGAAUCUAUAAACCCUAUCACAGUUCGGAUCGGAGUCUGCAACUCGACUCCGUGAAGCUGGAAUCGCUAGUAAUCGCAUAUCAGCCAUGAUGCGGUGAAUACGUUCCCGGGCCUUGUACACACCGCCCGUCAAGCCAUGGAAGUUGGAAGUGCCUGAAGUCCGUCACCG
rnacentral:rRNA from 1 species